CCCGCUCAGCAUAGGAAGAAACUGUAAAAGGCACUGGUUGUAAUUCCAAAUUUACUCUACAAAAUCAACUGCUCCAUUUUAAAAAGCUAAAAUCUGCUUUGAAAUUUAAUUAGAUGACAAACAAACCUCCAUCCCACCAACAUUAACAUUGACUUAGAUGUAAAACAUGUGAUUAGAUGAUCUUAAAUACUGAUCCAGAAUUAUGGAAAAGGGGGGCCAAACAA
rnacentral:lncRNA from 1 species